AUUCAAAUAGCUUAUAUUUAGAGCGUGACACUGAAGAUGUUAAUGAGAUUUUUGUAAUCUUUGAAUA
rnacentral:tRNA from 1 species